rnacentral:rRNA from 1 species
GACGAACGCUGGCGGCGUGCUUAACACAUGCAAGUCGAGCGGAAAGGCCCUGCUUUUGUGGGGUGCUCGAGUGGCGAACGGGUGAGUAACACGUGAGUAACCUGCCCUUGUCUUUGGGAUAACUUCAGGAAACUGGGGCUAAUACCGGAUAGGAGCUCCUGCUGCAUGGUGGGGGUUGGAAAGUUUCGGCGGUUGGGGAUGGACUCGCGGCUUAUCAGCUUGUUGGUGGGGUAGUGGCUUACCAAGGCUUUGACGGGUAGCCGGCCUGAGAGGGUGACCGGCCACAUUGGGACUGAGGUACGGCCCAGACUCCUACGGGAGGCAGCAGUGGGGAAUAUUGCACAAUGGGCGGAAGCCUGAUGCAGCAACGCCGCGUGCGGGAUGACGGCCUUCGGGUUGUAAACCGCUUUCGCCUGUGACGAAGCGUGAGUGACGGUAAUGGGUAAAGAAGCACCGGCUAACUACGUG